UGGGGAAUUUUGGACAAUGGGCGCAAGCCUGAUCCAGCCAUGCCGCGUGCGGGAAGAAGGCCUUCGGGUUGUAAACCGCUUUUGUCAGGGAAGAAAUCUUCUGAGUUAAUACCUCGGGAGGAUGACGGUACCUGAAGAAUAAGCACCGGCUAACUACGUGCCAGCAGCCGCGGUAAUACGUAGGGUGCAAGCGUUAAUCGGAAUUACUGGGCGUAAAGCGUGCGCAGGCGGUUUUGUAAGACAGAGGUGAAAUCCCCGGGCUCAACCUGGGAACUGCCUUUGUGACUGCAAGGCUUGAGUGCGGCAGAGGGGGGAUGGAAUUCCGCGUGUAGCAGUGAAAUGCGUAGAUAUGCGGAGGAACACCGAUGGCGAAGGCAAUCCCCUGGGCCUGCACUGACGCUCAUGCACGAAAGCGUGGGGAGCAAACAGGAUUAGAUACCCUGGUAGUCCACGCCCUAAACGAUGUCAACUGGUUGUUGGGAAGGUUCCUUCUCAGUAACGUAGCUAACGCGUGAAGUUGACCGCCUGGGGAGUACGGCCGCAAGGUUGAAACUUAAAUGAAUUGACGGGGUCAUAGCUGUUUCC
rnacentral:rRNA from 1 species